GCUGCAAAGGAAAAGCAAGAUGAAGAGUCUAUUGCUGCCGCAGCUAGUGCAAGACUACGUCUUCAGUCUAUUGUUUUUAAAUCCAACAGUAUGAAUGCUGGUAAGGAUUUUAACAAUGGCCAGGUUUCACAAGCUUCUUAAUUCUUGUGGAGCAUUUGUACCCGUGGUCCAGCACGCAUGUGAUUAACAGGCUAAAUACUUUUAACCCUCUUUCGC
rnacentral:misc_RNA from 1 species